rnacentral:rRNA from 1 species
UUUAUCACGCGUUACUCACCCGUCCGAAGGGCGAAUUCGCGGCCGCUAAAUUCAAUUCGCCCUGUAGUGAGUCGUAUUAAGAGAGUGAGGGGCCCGCGUGUGGAUUAGCUGGUUGGUGAGGUAACGGCUCACCAAGGCGACGAUCCAUAGCUGGUCUAAGAGGAUGAUCAGCCACACUGGGACUGAGACACGGCCCAGACUCCUACGGGAGGCAGCAGUGGGGAAUAUUGGACAAUGGGGGAAACCCUGAUCCAGCCAUGCCGCGUGAGUGAUGAAGGCCCUAGGGUUGUAAAGCUCUUUCGCCAGGGAUGAUAAUGACAGUACCUGGUAAAGAAGCCCCGGCUAACUCCGUGCCAGCAGCCGCGGUAAUACGAAGGGGGCUAGCGUUGUUCGGAAUUACUGGGCGUAAAGCGCACGUAGGCGGGUCAUUAAGUCAGGGGUGAAAUCCCGGGGCUCAACCUCGGAAUUGCCUCUGAUACUGGUGGCCUUGAGUCCGAGAGAGGUGAGUGGAACUCCGAGUGUAGAGGUGAAAUUCGUAGAUAUUCGGAAGAACACCAGUGGCGAAGGCGGCUCACUGGCUCGGUACUGACGCUGAGGUGCGAAAGCGUGGGGAGCAAAGGGAUUAGAUACCCCUGUAGUC